GAGCAAGAUUUGGGCUGCCCAGUGAUUUUCCUUCACCAUCAGAACAGUUUCCUAUGGCGCCUUCCCAUCAGCGCUCAGAGACUCACCACCUACUUUCACACUGUGUAACGAGUAACAAUUCUUGAAUCACUUAAAUCAUCUGGAGACACAGAGAAUCAGACUUGAGCUGGGAUAAAGAAGCUUUCAGGAGUGAUGCAGCAGUGAAAUUAAAUUCUGAGGACAGUGAAGGAUUGACUACGCUGAGACGCUUGGGACAAGGACUGAGUGAGAGAGAGACGGAGUUUGAAAACUUCAACACAGGCUCUAGCACAUUAAACAACAGUUUAUUAAACAAGCCAGGCCUAAAAAGACAACUGUUGAAUGAUUUCACUCACAUGUGAAUUCGGAAGAAAUGACUGUCACAGAAGCAGAGUAGAAUGGUGGUUACUAGAGGCUGGAGAGAGAAAGUUAAAAGAUCAAUCAGCAGUUGCUAGAGUACAGUGAAGCAGGAAGAACCUCUACUGUGUGCAACUGCACAUAGGGUGACCCAGUUAACUAUAAGCCAAAUAGCUAGAAGAAUAGACUGCACAUCGCCACCACAAAGGAAUGACGCAUGUGUGAAGCUAUGGGUGUGCUAAUUACCCUAGUUUGAUGAUUAUACAAUGGGUGCAUGUAUUGAAAUAUCACAUUGAAUCCCCACAAACAUGUGCAAUUAUGAUGUGUCAAUGAGAAGCAGCAACAACAAAAGAGGACUCACUGACAGACGCAUGCCUGCGAGGAAAGACAUUCCUCAUAAGACAGGAAGGAGGCUGGCUGCCAUGUAUGAAUGAGCUGCUUUCUUCCCCUGAAUCAUUGCCAGCUGGCCUCUGACAAAUAGUUCCUACAGAGAAAGAAGAAGAGCAAUUGGGGAAGACACGAGGCACAGUUUCAGGGGAUUCCAGAAAGCAUUACCUGCAGCCUGGAACAGGAGCUUUGCUUCCCUGUGGCACCUGGUAUGGAACAGGUCAGUUCAAUUUCUUACCCACCAGGCCUGAGACUGAAUUUUUAGAGUCACAUGGACUGUCUGACUUCCCUAGUCCUGACAGGGCAAAAAAUAUCUCCUUGCCUAUUCUGAUUUACAAUGCUGAGCAAUGUGACUUUUUAAAUAACACAUAGGAAACCAUUCUGAUCCAGUUUUGUCUUCUUCAGAUUGGCACGUGUUGAUGAGAACAAAUGCGUAUGUAGACGAGGGGUGAUUGUUAAAAACUUAACUGAAAAAUCCCCAUUUUCUUAUGUAUCUGGACAUCAUCAGCAUUUUUCAUAAAGCAUUUACCUGAGGAUGAUUUUCAAGGGAAAUUCUAAUGAUAACCAAGAUAAAAGGGCACCAAUAAAAUCUGAACUUUCAGUCUGCAACAUGCCCAUCAUAGUCACAUGACUAGCUAUGUAUGCUGGUUCAUCAGAGAAAAGAUGAGAGCAGGGAUCAUCUAUAACAAUUUGUGCUGUGAGCCCCAGAAUCCACUGGGGGAGAUAUUGAUAAGGUUAGAACUUCUUAGAAGUAAGGCAGUGUGUCAAUAACCUCCUUAGGAGUGAGGACCACAGGCUUUCUUCUAGUGAACAAAAACCUUAUAAUAAGUCAGCAGCAGCAUCCUUUAGGCUGAUUUUUCUCUCUAUGAAUUUGCUCCUUCUUUCAACACCUCUCCACAUGCAAUUCUUCAAGUGAAACAGAAAAAGCAAAGCUGCAAUUUGCCAGGAGAGGUACAGUCUGUGAGAGGCCAGUGCCGUAGAUGGUAGAAAGAAUCUACCAACAGUCAAGGAAUGUAGAAAAGUUAAGAGUUUAUGGACACAUUGCCAGAUAGCAGUGAGUGAGUCCCAGAGAUUGCUAAUGUGAGGAGUGGGUAUGCAAAUGUCAUCACAGGGGUUCCAUUCUCCAUCCAUCUCAAUUCUGAAGAUAGCCAUGAGUCCUUUGAAGACUGAGUAAUGUUUUCUUCAACAGAGUUCAGUGCACUUGGUGUUAAAAUAACAGUCAUUCUAAGUAGGGCUAGUUAACAAAUGUGUAUAGGCUAAUUGGGGUUAGUGGGGCUGGAGUCCCUUAAAAGGGACUUCUGAUGUUGUACUGGGACAGAGGAGGAAAUGACAAGAGGUUGAGUGAUUUAGUGAUGUAUGUACAGCUCUUG